CAUCGAGCAGAGGGAAAAGGAGCAAUCCGCUUUGAGAUGGCCUCGCGUCCGAUUAGCUAGUUGGUGAGGUAACGGCCCACCAAGGCGACGAUCGGUAGCCGGACUGAGAGGUUGAACGGCCACAUUGGGACUGAGACACGGCCCAGACUCCUACGGGAGGCAGCAGUGGGGAAUAUUGCACAAUGGGGGAAACCCUGAUGCAGCGACGCCGCGUGGAGGAAGAAGGUCUUCGGAUUGUAAACUCCUGUUGUUGGGGAAGAUAAUGACGGUACCCAACAAGGAAGUGACGGCUAACUACGUGCCAGCAGCCGCGGUAAAACGUAGGUCACAAGCGUUGUCCGGAAUUACUGGGUGUAAAGGGAGCGCAGGCGGGAAGACAAGUUGGAAGUGAAAUCUAUGGGCUCAACCCAUAAACUGCUUUCAAAACUGUUUUUCUUGAGUAGUGCAGAGGUAGGCGGAAUUCCCGGUGUAGCGGUGGAAUGCGUAGAUAUCGGGAGGAACACCAGUGGCGAAGGCGGCCUACUGGGCACCAACUGACGCUGAGGCUCGAAAGUGUGGGCAGCAAACAGGAUUAGAUACCCUGGUAGUCCACACCGUAAACGAUGAAUAGUAGGUGUUGGAGGAUUGACCCCUUCAGUGCCGCAG
rnacentral:rRNA from 1 species